GAGAGGUGGUGCAUGGCCGUCGGUCAGUCCGUACUGUGAAGCAUCCUGUUAAGUCAGGCAACGAGCGAGACCCACGCCCACAGUUGCCAGCGUACUCUCUGGAGUGACGGGUACACUGUGGGGACCGCCGCUGCUAAAGCGGAGGAAGGAAUGGGCAACGGUAGGUCAGUAUGCCCCGAAUAUCCCGGGCUACACGCGAGCUACAAUGGUUGGUACAAUGGGUAUCUACCCCGAAAGGGGACGGAAAUCUCCUAAAACCAAUCUUAGUUCGGAUUGAGGGCUGCAACUCGCCCUCAUGAAGCUGGAAUCCGUAGUAAUCGCGUUUCAACAGAACGCGGUGAAUACGUCCCUGCUCCUU
rnacentral:rRNA from 1 species